UGAGAGAGUGUGGACCGUGUUUGAGGAUUGCCCAGCUUUCAGUUCUAUGAGUAAUAAAUAUCCACAGGCUGUUUUCUUGGAAGUAGAUGUACAUCAGUGUCAGGGAACUGCUGCCACAAACAAUAUAUCAGCAACACCUACGUUUUUGUUUUUUCGAAACAAAGUGAGAGUUGAUCAAUAUCAAGGAGCAGAUGCUGUUGGAUUAGAAGAAAAAAAUCAAGCAACACUUAGAAAAUGACCCUGGAAGCAAUGAGGGCACAGAUAUUCCAAAAGGCUAUAUGCAUUUAAUGCCUUUUAUUAACAAGGCUGGUUGUGAAUGUCUCAAUGAAAGCGAUGAACAUGGUUUCGACAACUGUUUACGAAAAGACAUGACCUUCUUGGAAUCUGACUGUGAUGAACAGCUACUUAUUACUGUGGCAUUCAAUCAACCUGUUAAGCUUUAUUCCAUGAAAUUUCAAGGGCCAGAUAAGGGUCAGGGUCCUAAAUAUGUAAAAAUUUUUAUCAACCUACCCUGAUCUAUGGAUUUUGAAGAGACAGAAAGAAGUGAACCAACUCAAGCUCUGGAACUGACAGAGGAUGAUAUCAAAGAAGAUGGCAUUGUUCCACUUCCUUAUGUUAAGUUUCAGAAUGUUAACAGAGUAACUAUAUUUGUUCAGUCUAAUCAGGAUGAAGAAGAAACAGCAAGAAUUUCGUAUUUUACUUUUAUUGGUACUCCAGUCCAGGCAACAAAUAUGAAUGACUUCAAAUGAGGUGGGAAACCAAAAAUAGCCUGCAUGUGUUUCAUUUUUAAUUCCUUGUGGCCUGGGGAAGGGGUGUCACAGUUUGCUUCCACAGUGAAAGUACACUGCAUGCGCAGAAAUUCAAGAAUAAAAAUUAAUACCAGGUAGUGGGCAAAAAAGGAGAAAGCCACUAAGAUACAAAAGAUACUGGAAGACCUAUUGCAAUCAGAUUUGCAGCUCCUGGAUAAUUGCUUGAUUCUCUCCAGAGACUGUCAAUGUUUCAUUCAUUGCCAUUACCAAUAAAUCAUUGCUUUUGUUCAGAUGGUAUCACUAGUCUUUCUGUUGUAAUCUUGAUACAUGCAAUUGUAAAUAAAAGUCACUACUUUUGCCAAGCUUAAAUUUUGUCAGUCUACAUAAGUAUUUCUUCUUUCCUUUUAUUUUAAAAUUAGCCAGCUUCUGAUUUUAGAAGAGACUUAAAUGUCUGGUAGCAUAUUGACUGAAGCCUAAUUUCUCUUUUUAGAGGAUCAAAACUGUUGUAGGGAAUCAAGGAGUACAGGUAUACACAAGCACAUAGAGCACUCAGUUUUGAGAAUGGACUUGGAAUAGCUAACCAUGUUCAAAUGAGUAUUGAUUCCUGUUUUCUUUAAAAGAUAUUUGGGUAUUUGGUAUCUGGGCUAGAAAUUAUUCAAAUUAUAAACUGCCAGAAAUAAACAGGCUUAAGGAGAUUUAAUUACUCUUACCUAAAACAGUUGAUGGGUCUCCAAAUUCUUUUCCAUGCCAAAUUUUAAUCCAUUCUGCAUAAACUUUAAAUUUUGAUACUCAUUUUAUGUAGUAAUAAAGGAAUGUCAAAUUCAGACAGCUGGGAAAAAUACGGUACAAUAAAUUUUGAAACAACAGGAAUUCUUUGUAAACCAGUAAUUAUCUGAACUACUAAAACAUGCAACAUAGGAAUAUAGACAACAUGAUUUAAGGUUGAAAAUUAGUUGGCCAAAUGUUUGUGUUUAAAAGAUAUUUAACAAAAGGUUGGUUAAAUAUAGCAUCUGUUCUUUGUUAUUUUUUUAAUCUUAAAAUUAUAAUCUGGAAAAUAGUGAUAAAUUUAAUUUUUAAGUAAGUAUUUUUAAAAUUUAAUGUUUUAAGAACACCAAGACAUAAAGUGUGAUUCAGCUAAUGCAUUUGAAGGCAGUCUUGUCUAAAAGUAUGGUAGAGAUGCUGUUUGCCCUUGGGAGGCUAAUAUGUUUAUAUAUGAUUAUGAAAAAUUAUGUGGAAGUUUUAAUGUUGAAGUGGUCACUUUCUGAAACCCAAGUGUUACUAAUUAAUGUUCAGUUCAUUUGUAUGUGAGUACAGUACCUGGUGGUGUGGUGAUGUCUGUAGUUUAUGUAUUUUACAGUUUUGUUGCCUUGGGUCAAGUGGAGGCAGAAAGGCAAAAAAUAAAAGUUUAUAUCACUCCUAAUAUAGACCAUCUUAUCUUAGAGAUAAGAUUAAUACCAAGGAUUUUGUUUUACAUUUUUGUACACUUAACCUUUUUGGGUAAUUGUUAAAGUGCCCCAUCUUAAGUAUCACUGACCUCAUCCUAUUUAUACUUGACAGUUUAAAAACCCAUAAAAAUGAUUUCAUAUUUGUAAAGGAUUGGGCAUCAGGUUUAUAUUGUUUAUGUGAAUUUUCUAUAACUCAGUUGGUUGCAAUAUACAGACAUUCCAUAAUAAUUCAAAUUGUAAAUAGUGAAAAUGUUUAUAGGUAACUGUAAUGUGUUUCACUUAUGGGAAGUUUUACUAUUACAAAUAAACAUGCUUAACUGACCUUAUUUAAAAUAUCAAGA
rnacentral:lncRNA from 1 species